GGGAGCCAGGACACAGCUCGGCUUGCUUGUGCUGAGAGAGAGAAAGAGUUAAACUGCUGACCCUGAUGGCAGGGGAGAGCCGGCCACGCAGCUGUAAUGUGUGGGAGCCGCCAGACUAAGCAGCCAAGACAGGGCGGACAGUGUAAAUGAGUUAGUUUGAGUAAGCUGUGUAAGAGAGCUGCUGCUGAAUAAAACCAUAUUCACAUGCCUACGCGCCCCCCAGUGUUAUAUCUGCUCAUCCACCCACUGCCCUCAGACUUCAGCAUGGGCUGGACACGGACCCUGGGAUCUGACAAUUGGCAAUGAGGAUGGGAUGAGAAUUUACACUAUGCCUCAAUUUAGAUGAACUGGGAUAAUUUGUUAAUAACUGGACCACUCUGGCAGAACUUGUAAGCAUGGAUGUUCAUCAAAAAGAUGAUUAGCACCUGGGUAAAACUAAGAUUACUGACACAGAUGAAUGAAAGAGUUAAUGGAUGAUCUAUUCUUCAAAGUGACACACUAAACACCAUUGAAAUUGAAGGCAGCUGUUGAUCUUCCAGCUUGAAAUAACUUUUCGUAUACACGGAGCCUUCUCAUAUCCACAUGAAACAAUAUAAACUAUUUUCACCUUUCUUAUGGAUUCCAAUUCCAGCUCUGUACUCAUUUUCAUAUGCCCUCUCUGACCCGUUUUAAAUUUCUGCACAAUUCUCUGGAAAUGAAGAGUCUCAGCUUGCUCACAUGAAUUUAAUAAGAUCAUUAAUCAUAUUGAAAAUAACUUGCUUACUAUGCUCAGGUUAAUCCAUUUGGUAACAUGCUUGAAUAUUACAUAAACACUGUAUGUUAACUACUUUUUUUUUCCUACCGUGAUGCUAACUGUUUGAUUUGAAUGAAUAACAUGGAAAUCCUUUUUCACUGUAACAAUUUCAUAAAUUUGUUAAAGUUAUCUCUAAGUUGGAAAUAUAUAUGUACAAAGUUUCAAAGAAUAAAUGUUAGUAUAAUUCAGAAAUAAACAGUUUUUUAUAAUUUCCA
rnacentral:lncRNA from 10 species